rnacentral:rRNA from 1 species
UACGUAGGGUGCGAGCGUUAAUCGGAAUUACUGGGCGUAAAGCGUGCGCAGGCGGUUUUGUAAGCCAGAUGUGAAAUCCCCGGGCUUAACCUGGGAAUGGCAUUUGGGACUGCAAAGCUUGAGUGCGGCAGAGGGGACUGGAAUUCCUGGUGUAGCAGUGAAAUGCGUAGAGAUCAGGAGGAAUACCGAUGGCGAAGGCAGGUCCCUGGGCUGACACUCGAGCGCUCAUGCACGAAAGCGUGGGAGCAAACAGG